rnacentral:rRNA from 1 species
AUUGAACGCUGGCGGCAGGCCUAACACAUGCAAGUCGAGCGGAUGAGUGGAGCUUGCUCCAUGAUUCAGCGGCGGACGGGUGAGUAAUGCCUAGGAAUCUGCCUGGUAGUGGGGGACAACGUUUCGAAAGGAACGCUAAUACCGCAUACGUCCUACGGGAGAAAGCAGGGGACCUUCGGGCCUUGCGCUAUCAGAUGAGCCUAGGUCGGAUUAGCUAGUAGGUGAGGUAAUGGCUCAACUAGGCGACGAUCCGUAACUGGUCUGAGAGGAUGAUCAGUCACACUGGAACUGAGACACGGGCCAGACUCCUACGGGAGGCAGCAGUGGGGAAUAUUGGGCAAUGGGCGAAAGCCUGAUCCAGCCAUGCCGCGUGUGUGAAGAAGGUCUUCGGAUUGUAAAGCACUUUAAGUUGGGAGGAAGGGCAGUAAGUUAAUACCUUGCUGUUUUGACGUUACCAACAGAAUAAGCACCGGCUAACUUCGUGCCAGCCGCCGCGGUAACAC